rnacentral:rRNA from 1 species
CGCUAUUAGGUGAGCCUAUGUUAGAUUAGCUAGUUGGUAGGGUAAAGGCCUACCAAGGCGAUGAUCUAUAGCUGGUCUGAGAGGAUGAUCAGCCACACUGGAACUGAGAUACGGUCCAGACUCCUACGGGAGGCAGCAGUGGGGAAUAUUGGACAAUGGGCGCAAGCCUGAUCCAGCUAUGCCGCGUGAGUGAGGAAGGCCCUAGGGUUGUAAAACUCUUUCAGUAGGGAAGAUAAUGACGGUAC